GAUGAACGCUGGCGGCGUGCCUAAUACAUGCAAGUCGAACGCGAGAGGAGGGAGCUUGCUCCCUCUGAUCGAGUGGCGGACGGGUGAGUAACACGUAGGCAACCUGCCCAUCAGCGGGGGAUAACUGCGGGAAACCGUGGCUAAUACCGGAUAAUCCUCUCCACCGCGGGGUGGGGAGUUGAAAGACGGUUUCGGCUGUCGCUGAUGGAUGGGCCUGCGGCGCAUUAGCUGGUUGGCGGGGUAACGGCCCACCAAGGCAACGAUGCGUAGCCGACCUGAGAGGGUGAGCGGCAAAGCUUGGACAGAGACACGGCCCGGAAUCCUACGGGGGGCAGCAGUAGGGAAUCUUCCGAAAUGGACGAAAGGCUGACGGGGCAACGCCGCGGGAGUGAUGAAGGCUUUCGGGUCGUAAAACUCUGUUGUUAGGGAAGAACAAGUGCUAGUUGAAUAAGCUGGCACCUUGACGGUACCUAACCAGAAAGCCACGGCUAACUACGUGCCAGCCGCCGCGGUAA
rnacentral:rRNA from 1 species